rnacentral:lncRNA from 1 species
UGUAAUAUGUAGUUUUGUAUGUUGUGUUAAUACUACAUCACAUUUUUCAAAAUGAUAACACGUACAGUAAUUCUUCUGAAGACAUGACACAAAUUUAAUAUUAAUAGGCCAUAAAUUGGGUUUGUUUUUACACUUUUAACACUUUUGUCUCCUCUUUCUUACUCACAUUACAGAUGCAGAGAUUGCCGUUACAGUUGAUGGUACAUUAAAGGUCUUCCUGUCCAUUCUCAUUGACUUAAUUGCAGACUUCUUACUAGCUCUUGUUGUUCACAGAGACUCGUGGCAGAUAUAUGAUGCUAUUGUAAUUCAUCCUUGUGAGCCAGGAGUAACUGAAUGGAUCAAUGUCUAUAACCUAAAACGGUGCGUCUUGUAGUGACGGACCAGUUUCUGAUCUAUGUUGGACGGGACAGGGUCACCACUCCCUUGUAUAUCAGGAUUUGUGUAUUUUAAUGGGAUUAAUGGAUAUAUACCUGACGAACCAGUUCCUGAUCUUUGUUGGACGGGACAGGGUCACCACUCCCUUGUAUAUCAGGAUUUGUGUCUUUUAAAGUCAUUUAUUGAUAUUUUCGGUGCGUCUUGUUGUCACGGAUGCUUGUGUUAAAAUUGGCUACAGGCAAGGACAACCUCAGCCUAACAUGUGUUAAUCAUUUGAUUGUUGACUGUUGAGUUGGGGGACUACUGUUUGUUAUCCAUUGUACCUGUUGAAUGGACACAAUGCAGUAUCAACUCGGUUGCAAUGGAAGUUGAUGUUCUCGUUUUCCUGGUGUAUGGCAGCUUAAGUGAAGCAUGGAUUUCAACAAAUAAGCGAGUAGGAAACUUGCCAUUAUUGAUUCUACCAGAUAACACUGCUAUUUUUCCAUUACUAAAUGCAGUUUUGUUUUUAUUGAUAAUUCUAUUUAUUGUAGCUUUUGCGAGCAAGUGACAGCAUUAAUGUUUUGCUAUAAAUAUAAUAUUGCAUUAAUGAAUAUUAUUACAGUCUCCAUGAAAAUGAUUACUUUGUUAUGAAUUAAAGUUUAUGAUAAUUUAGUCUCACAUGAUUAAGUGAGAAACAGGAAGGGAAUACGCUAACUUUGCACACGAUGAAUUUUGUUCUGAAAGAGUGAAGGUGUUGAUAAAACUUUGUAUAUAUAGAUGGCAAAAAGCAUCUGUUGAACCUAAAUUAUGACUAAAAUUAUUAUUAUAGGCAUAUAAAAUAAUAUCUUAUGUUUGAUGUAAUACACAAUAGUCUCU